GAUCAUGGCUCAGGACGAACGCUGGCGGCGUGCCUAAUACAUGCAAGUAGAACGCACAGUUUAUACCGUAGCUUGCUACACCAUAGACUGUGAGUUGCGAACGGGUGAGUAACGCGUAGGUAACCUGCCUGGUAGCGGGGGAUAACUAUUGGAAACGAUAGCUAAUACCGCAUAAUAUUGAUUAUUGCAUGAUAAUUGAUUGAAAGAUGCUAUUGCAUCACU
rnacentral:rRNA from 1 species